AAGUCGUAACAAGGUUUCCGUAGGUGAACCUGCGGAAGGAUCAUUAAAGAAUGCCCCGUUUUUUAAAAUGGGUUCUAUUCCCAAACCGUGUAUACAUACCUUUGUUGCUUUGGCAGGCCGCCUUCUAGGCGUUGGCUCCGGCUAACUGCGCCUGCCAGAGGACCCAAACUCGUUUGUUUAGUGAUGUCUGAGUACUAUAUAAUAGUUAAAACUUUCAACAACGGAUCUCUUGGUUCUG
rnacentral:misc_RNA from 1 species